UACGUAGGGCGCAAGCGUUGUCCGGAAUUAUUGGGCGUAAAGAGCUCGUAGGCGGUUUGUCACGUCUGCUGUGAAAUCCCGAGGCUCAACCUCGGGCGUGCAGUGGGUACGGGCAGACUAGAGUGCGGUAGGGGAGACCGGAAUUCCUGGUGUAGCGGUGGAAUGCGCAGAUAUCAGGAGGAACACCGAUGGCGAAGGCAGGUCUCUGGGCCGCAACUGACGCUGAGGAGCGAAAGCAUGGGUAGCGAACAGGAUUAGA
rnacentral:rRNA from 1 species